UACGAAGGGGGCUAGCGUUGCUCGGAAUUACUGGGCGUAAAGGGCAGGUAGGUGGUCUCAUUUGUCUGGGGUGAAAGCCUUGAGCUUAACUCAAGAAGUGCCCCAGAAACGGUGAGACUAGAGUUCUGGAGAGGGUCGUGGAAUUCCCGGUGUAGCGGUGAAAUGCGUAGAGAUCGGGAGGAACACCAGAGGCGAAGGCGGCGACCUGGACAGAUACUGACACUCAACUGCGAAAGCGUGGGGAGCAAACAGG
rnacentral:rRNA from 1 species